GGAAUAUUGGUCAAUGGGCGGGAGCCUGAACCAGCCAAGUAGCGUGCAGGAAGACGGCCCUAUGGGUUGUAAACUGCUUUUAUGAGGGGAUAAAGUGCGGGACUUGUCCCGUUUUGCAGGUACCUCAUGAAUAAGGACCGGCUAAUUCCGUGCCAGCAGCCGCGGUAAUACGGAAGGUCCGGGCGUUAUCCGGAUUUAUUGGGUUUAAAGGGAGCGUAGGCGGAUGCUUAAGCGUGUCGUGAAAUGCCGCGGCUCAACCGUGGCACUGCGGCGCGAACUGGGUGUCUUGAGUGUGCUGAAAGUAGGCGGAAUUCGUGGUGUAGCGGUGAAAUGCUUAGAUAUCACGAGGAACUCCGAUUGCGAAGGCAGCUUACUGUAUCACAACUGACGCUGAAGCUCGAAGGCGCGGGUAUCGAACA
rnacentral:rRNA from 1 species